rnacentral:lncRNA from 1 species
UCUAAUUCAUGAUUAAUUACUUCGAGGUCUGACAGCUUUUCAGGAUCUGGGCAUGAAGCCGGCAGUCAUGUCAUGUUAUUGAAAUCUGCAAUUAACAGAACUAAAAAGAAAAAUAAGAAAAGUGACAAGACUAAGAAAAGAGAUAUUCCUGGACAAUGAAAUACUAAAUUCAUUUGAAUUUUUUUUUCAAUCAAUUUUUUUUGAAGAUAUAAGGGUUUACAUCGGAAAGUAAGACAAUAAAGUAAAAUAUCUGGAUCACACCCUAAGAUAAUCUGGACGCAAAAAGGAUAGCAAGAUUGGCUACCGAGACUCCCGUCUGAUGGGGAACUUUCAAGCUUGGCGACCGUAUUUCGGCUUUUCUUCUUUUUUGGCCAUGGCUGCAAUGGCCUUCAGUGUCGGAUCAAAUUCCUCAGCUUCACAAAUCAUUCCGACUAUUGGCCCGAUGUGGUGGGCAUGCAACAAAUUGUUCAUCACAUCAGGAGCUUCUUCAUCCCAAAAAAUAAUUCUUUCAGCUUCAAUCAAAUUUCAACUGCCCUUUUGAAGGCCCAACAGUCCUCUAUACUGUGUCCCACUAUCCAGAGUGGUAUUUACAUACAGCAUCAGCUCGGUGUGAGGGGGACUCAGAGUUUGGCCGGUUUGGGGCCACUGGCUGCAACAAAUUUAGCCUGAUUAGCUUUUGGAACAAGUUCGAAUACAAUUGACCAAUAGGGGAGAACUGAUUCUUUCUGAAAGACUCUCUUGGACGAGGAUUGUAUUGGGGAUCAUUUGGUUGAGGAUUAUAUGGAGCUUGGUAAGGAUGGACAUUUCUGGGAGGUGGAGCUCGAUUUUGUGGAUAAUGUUGUGGCCGCGGGUAAGGUUGCGCAUUCAUCACCGCAUAGGGAGGCGGUGCCACAACAUAAGCAUCAUCUUGAAGGGGAUAAUAGCGUGGUGGGACCAUAUAAGGCACAUAUGAUUGGAUGAAUGACCUGGUGGCCCCCCUCGAGCUUGAAACCAUCAUGUCUCCCUCUUCAACCCCAUUUCUGUUCAUCAAGCCCUCCAAACCAUUCUAAGCAGCCUGUGAUGUAGCCUUAAAGGCAGCAUGACUCAAGAUUCGCCCCGUUUUAAAAUCGUUUUCAACCAUUGCCCCAAUUUUGAUAGCCUCAGCAAACGACUUUCCCAUAGCAGACAUCGUGUUCUGGAAGUAGUCCGCCUCUUGGGCCUGUAGAAAGACCGUGACCAUUUAAAUUUAGUCCAUUGGAGGCUUUACCCUGGCAGCUUGCUCACGCCAUUUGACAGCAUAUUCGCGGAAGCUUUCCAUGAUUUUCUUUUUUCAAAUUGGACAAAGAGUUUCUGUCGGGAGAGAUGUCCAUAUUAUAUUGUAACUGGCGAACAAAAUCUCGAGCCAUAUCGUCCCACACAUGCCAAUGGGUAAUUUCAUGAUCUGUAUACCAUUCAGAAGCAAUUUUGGUGAGGCUUUCCCCAAAAUAGGCCAUUAGUAUCUCCUCUUUUCCAACAACACCCCUCAGCUGGUUACAAUAUCAUUUCAGAUGAGCGACUGGGUCUCCGUGCCCGUCGUACUUUUCAAAUUUUGGCAUCAUGAAGCCAGCUGGCAAGUGGACAUCGGGAAAUAUAUAAAGGUCAGAGUAUGAGACACUCUUUUGGCCACUCAGACCUUGCAUCUUUUUCAGGCUUUGUUCUAGGCUCUCCAUCUUCCGAGCCAUUUCCUUUUGCUUGGGAUUUUUAACAACUUUUCCUUGCUCCCCCGAGAGAUCAUAUUGCGGAGGUUGAGUGAAAGAGUACGGAGUCACAUAUGUUAUUUCUGGUUGAAGCUGCGGAUCCUGAAAGAUGAACGUUGGAGGUGGUGCCCUUGAAGCUGGUGCCUGGGUGAAAACCACAGAAGGCAUGCCAGGAUCAUUGGAGGGCAUUGGAGGGUGCCCGCAUGGGAUGAGCGGGUUAGGCAUAGGGGCGGUGGUAACCUCACCUGACCUGGGGAUCAACUUAGGGAACCCAGGGAUUGCACUUGGCGGUUCCCUACCAUUAGACCAGGCGUCCCACAUUUUCAAUAUGCGGAGACGCAACAUCCUAUUCUUUUCAGUAGCUGCUGAUUCUAGCUGCAGAAUAGCCGAUCCCGGGCUAUCCUCAGGACCGAUAAUUGGUAGAUUGCUUGCGGAGGCCAUCUGUGCCUUUGCAUCUUGUGAAAGAGGGGAGACUAGACUACCAACAAAAUCAACCACCUGAACAGAACCUAGCUAAUUUGCACAUCCAACAACCUUGUUAGUUUUGAGACAUUUAACAGAUAGAAAAUCGCAUAUUGGGAUGCAAUGCACCUAGACAGUUAAACGUUUCUACUAUGUGUUUGAACGAGUUGCAUGUUUCAUCCCGGCCUUAAUUAACCAUUUUCACUUUGUACCUCUUUUCUUCAUUUCUGCCUCUCUUUAAUCACUCUUGAUUUUUUCAUUUCGUUUUUUGCCGCUCUUUUAUUUUUGGCACUCUCUUUUUCUCUUUUUGUUUGUCACUUUUUAUUUCUUGUCGCUCCUUUUUUUCGCUCUUUUCUUUCUUUUUCACUCAAUCAAAUUUAUUUAUUUUCUCUCUUUUGUCAAAUUAUUUUUCACUCAGUUUUAAUUUAUAGCUAUGAUCGAAUCCGAUGGGGAUUACCUACGUAUCAUGGCGCCGCAUGAAUCAGAUCUUGCGUAAUUCAGGAAGAUUGGGAAUAGAGUAAAUAAACUAACUUUUUUUUUUUACUUUUUAUAAAACUCAGACCAUGAAAUCUUUAAGGCAAAAGAAAAAUAUUUUUGAUUUUUUGAUUUUUUUUCUUAUUUCUUUUGGAAUUUUUCUUAAAAAAUGAUUUAAAAGAAGAAAGGAAACAUUUUUUUUGGGAUUUUUUAUUUUGAUUUUUCUUUUAUUUUUGAAAGAAAGACUUCUAAAAAUUUCUUUUCUUUUGAUUGGAACUUUGGGAUUUUUAAAAGUAAAAAAAAAAUAUUUUUGUUUGAAUUUUCAUUUGUUUUCUCUUUUUCUAAAGAAGAAAGAAAAUAUUUUUGUUUUGGAUUUUGGAUGUUGCCUCUUAAUUUUCGAAAGAAGGACUUUUAAGAAAGUUUUUUGAAUUUUUGAGUUUUUAUUUAUUUACAAAAAAGUACUUCUAAAGAAAAGUAAAAUAUUUUUGGACCUCAAUUUUCAAUUUUUUUUGACAUUUCCGAAAGAAAUACUUUUAAAGAAGGAAAAGAAUUUUUUUUGGAUUUAUUUUUAAUUUUUUUGGAAAAAUACUUCAAAACAAAGAAAACCCGUAUGAAAUACUCCAGAAAGAAGGAAACUACUUUUUUUGAGUUUUUUUAAAACUUCCCUCUUUUUUUGUUUUGAAUUUUCUAACGAAAGAUUUCUAAAGGAAAAUAUUUUUGGAUUUUUGAAAAUUGGGUCAGAACAGAUGAGGUUUGCCUACGUAUCUCACAUCCGGUGAGAAUCAGACCCGCGUAGUUCGGUCAGUUUUGACGGAACAGGGGAAACAUGGCCCUUGAAAUUUUUUGCUUAUUUUGAAAUGACUUUUCUUUUUUUAGAAUUCCGGUAGAGUUUCAGAAUUUUCUAAAUACCUAUCUCUCACUUUUUUUUGAUUUUCUUUUUUAUUUUAUUUUUAUUUUCUUUCCCUAUUCUAGAAGCCGGUUAAUAUGCAAGCCGAAACAAACAGAUGCGCAAGUAGCACGUAAGAUGCAUCAGGAUGGUCUUUUAAAUUUGGGUACACCUCAUGUCCUAGACGGACCCAGCCCUUGUGUUGAGUCCCCAAAGUCAGAUGCACGUGAUGCAAACAAACGUUCCUACUAGGGAUCCGACAUGAGGCUAUGUUAUACUAGGUUUAAAAACCUGGGUGUAUUGCUCUAGACCUGGCUUACCCGAACGGAUAGCUCGAGCCCGGGGGGGGGGGGGGGCAGCGUAUCGGGAAUACAGAAGCUUCACCGGCUUUGCAACUUGUCCGAACCGAACCUCGUUCUAAAAUUGGGAUAUCAUUCUAACAUAAAAGAAGUUACACGAAGUGCACACUUCACAGAUGAUUUAGAAAACUCAGAGAGAGGAGGGUUUCAUAGCAAUUUAUAUACAGUCCAAACAAUAUCAAAGCGGUAAAAAAUGGCAAUUAGCACAUUAGGCUCAACAUGUAAAAAUCAGAUAAAAACAAGCCAACUAUAACAGUUAUUCUAAGCUCGAAUUCUUGAACCCUGAACCAAAGUUCUGGGUUUUGUUCCCCAGCAGAGUCGGCAGAGUUGUCACACCCCCUUUUUACCACCCGAGAGGAAAUAUAAGGAAGUUUUUUCAAUUAAAGUGACAUUAUUCGAAAUGAGAUUAUUUUAUUUAUUUUCAGAGUCGCCACUUGGGAUAUUUAUGAUGGUGUCCCAAGUUACUGGUUUAUUUUAAAUCCCAAAUAGAGGAAAAUCGACUUUAUUUAAAAAUCUGCGAAACCAGAAAUUCAUAAUAAGGAAUUUUGUUAACCCGGGAGAAGGUGUUAGGCAUUCCCAGGUUCCGUGGUUCGAGCACGGUCGCUUAAACUAUUAAAAUUGACCUAAUUAACUUAUUUAAUACAUGUUUUAAACCUAGUGUGCUUUUUAAAACUUUAUAACCGCUUUUAAUUAUUUUAAAACCGCUUUUUAGGAUUUAUGGAAUUAUUUCUGGAACAAUUUACGAUUGUCAUACACUUGCCAUUUUUGAACACACCGCAAGCCACGCUACAUGAAAUGCACCCGUGAUUCGCGACAUGUAUAUUUUAUUAUUGUUUGAAGUUGUUAUGAUCGGGUCACAUGAAAUGCACACCCGAAUUUUGGAAUUAGGCAUCGUAACUACGUCACGGGAACCGUACCCAUAUCACGAGGGUUUAUUUAUUAAUCGCGCCUAAAGCAUGCUAUGGAUAUUCAUUUAUUACUUUCCUAAAGUUAAUUUGGGAUUGUUAUGAAGGCCAUGGUUUAUGGAAGUAAAAUGGUAAGGAUAAAAUUGUUACUAAAUUAUUAACAUCGUUCAUUACUACUAAAUUAUAGGAGGUGAAUAUCACAUAUUAAAUUAUCAACUUUCUAACAUAAUCAAACCAAAGAAGUUAAUCUUCUAAAUAAAGAGGACGGCUGAAAAAGUCAUAAUCACAUGUCAAUACCAUAUGAAAAUUAAAGAGAUUCCCUAUAGCUUUGCUUUUCCAAGCUUUCACAAAAUAAACUAGUGAUAAAUAUAAUAUUUAACUCCAUGAUACAUGCUCAAAAUGGAAAGACAUGGACAGAAACUCCAAAUAUUGAAGCAAAUUUUCAGAAUAUAAAUUUAGCGAAUUAAGAUGACAAACAAAGGCAUGCUAACACAGGAUAUUAAUAAAGUGACGGAACUUUUACUUAAAUCAACAGGAACAAAAUGAACAAUUAAUUAAAGGGGAAGGAGACCUUAUGUGUAUUGAUCUGAAACUCCAAAUGUAUACAUCAAAGUCGGAUUCUGAUUGUCAAACUCGACCGGAGAAAGUAAAUAGCAGCAAAAUCUUGGACCGGAGCUUUCGAAAGCGACCCGAAGGGUGCCUUCAAACAAGGAGCCCAAACUCGCUGGUAGCCUCGAAUCGGCACCGAAAAAUUUGAACCAAACAUGGAUUCAAUCAAAUUCGAAAUUUUAGCUAAACCGAAGAGAUAAAUGGCACUGAUUUUCUAGCUUUGUUUUUUCCUUCACCAUUUUUAACCUCUAUUUUGUAAUUGGAGUGAGGCUGUUUUUUUUGUAUUUAUUUUAUUUUUUCUUCUGAAAGGAAAUAAAAAGGGAUGAUGGUGGAUUUUGGGGAAUUUUAGGGAAUUAGGGGUGAGGCUGCUGCUCUUUGGAAUUGGGUGUAUAAGUAUGUGCGUAUUGUUUGGAUGGAGGAUUGGUUGGUCAAGUCUUGAAUGAGAAUUUUGUUGGAUUUUGGAAUGUUUGUUGGGAUUUUUCGGCUGAGUCUUUCUUUUAGUUCAAAUAGAUGAUCAUCAUCUCUUAAGGAGUGCUGCCAGAGAUGGAAAGCUCAUCCCUUUCUCCAAGAAGGCAGCGGUUGUAGCUUAAUCGUGAAGUUUAGGGGGCGCCGUUUUCAGCUUUUUUUUUGGCGAAGGGGAAGGUAUCUCAUGAUGUGAUAAGGUGUUAGGUCUCCUUUUAC